rnacentral:tRNA from 1 species
CAUUAAGAAGCUAUGCAUCAGCGCUAGCCUUUUAAGCUGGAGAAGGGGACACCCUCCCCCUUAAUGA